rnacentral:lncRNA from 1 species
AUGGGAUGGGAUGGGAUGGGAUGGGAUGGGAUGGGAUGGGAUGGGAUGGGAUGGGAUGGGAUGGGAUGGAACGGGGUGCCCUACUUGCCCCCAGCCCCUGCUCCCCUCCAUCUCCCCGUGCGUCCUCCCCGGGACGAAGGUUGCCAAAUGCCAGCAGCCCCCAAAACACACCCAGGCCCUGUGGCACGGUGCCGUGGGGACUUGCAGCACACUCUGCGUCCCCCCCAGUCCCCCUCGGUCGCAGAUGGCAGCAGAUCACCAGGGGCAGCAGUGGCACCGCCGGCGCCCAGCACCAGAUGUGGCCGUGGGGCUGUGAGCCCCGCUCCUGGCAGCACCGAGCCCCUGCAAGGCACCUGCCCCCCCCCGUGCUGCUGCUGCACCCCCUUCUGUGGGGCUGGAAGGGGGAACCCUGCUGUGACCCUGUGUGGGAAACUCGUGCUGGGGAUGGGGGCGGCACGGGGGGGCUGCUCCCUCUUUUGGGUGCAAACAGGAGGGUUUUGGGACGCCCUCGUUGCGCCUUUGUGGUGUCUUGGCCCCUGCACGGCCCCUCUGCCUCUGGCCAGCUCCCAGCCCAGCUUCUCCCCCAUACAGCAGCCUCUCCAGCCUGGGCUUCGUCUCCUUGAGGAAGGGGUGAAGACCCCCUUGGGGAUCCCAAAAAGUAGGGUUUGGGGUGCCCUCACCUCCCUGCAGCAGGGUGUGGGGGCCUGCGCUCCUCCUGCUGCCCUGCGCCUUUUCCAUCCCGGUCCCCUUCUCCAUCCCUGUCCCAUUCCCUAUCCCCUUCUCCAUCUCCAUCCCCAUCUCCUGUCCCCUUCCCCAUCCCCCCCCCCAUCCCCCCCGGCCGCAUCCCCCCGCCCGAGCCCCGCCCCCAAUCCCCCCCCUCCCCCCCCCACCGGCCCGGGCCGUGCCUCAGUUUCCCCGCGGCGGCGGGGCCGGGCCGGCGGCUCCCGGGAGGAGGCGGGGAAGGACGGGAGGGGAGGGGGCGGCCGUGCCCAGCCCCGGCGGCGGCGGCGGCGCGCUCCUGCGAGCCGUGCCGAGCCGUGCCGAGCUCCCGGCUCCGCUGGCCCCUUCCCGCAGCCGCCGGGAGCGGCGGGGCGGGGGGAGGCGGCGGCGGCGGCUCCGGGGGGGGUGUCCCCAACCCCCUGCCCGGCGGCGGAGCCCGUGCGCCCCGUCGCGGAUCCCCCCGACCCCGGCCAAGAAGAUGCGGAGCAAAGGCAGGAAGGAGAGCCUGUCCGACUCCCGGGACCUGGACGGCUCCUACGACCAGCUGACGGCCCUCUAAUGACAGCGGCGAUUAGCGCGCGGCCAGAGCCCCGAGCCCGUGUCUUGGGACUGCUCCGGCCAUGGCGCUCGGUGCAGGAGAGAUGGGACCCGAGGGCCGCCCUGCCCUGAGGACCGGAGGUAAAUUCCCCAAGGAAUAGAGGGUCCUGGAGGGGGCUUUUCCUCCUGGCUGAUGCUCCAGGAGGAGCAGGGAUGGGUGUCCACGGGUUCCACGUCACCCCGUGGGGCGAGCCUUUCCCCGCCGUGUCCUGCGAGCACCGGCGUGGGGUCCCCACCAUGCACCCUCAGCUGCUGGGUGGAAGGGCGAGGGAUUCACCUGCAGGAGGGUUGCUUUUC